rnacentral:misc_RNA from 1 species
UUGCAUUUAGUUUUGCGGAAGCGCAAGCCAUCUCACGUUGGCUCACGGGAACGCGUUCACAUGGUGGAUGGGGGGGGAGACAACGCAAUCCCACCAGGUUUACCCCAAUGGGACACGCCGCACUCAGUAAUGAUCCUUCCGGAGGUUCACCUCCGGAAA